rnacentral:rRNA from 1 species
UACGGAGGAUCCAAGCGUUAUCCGGAAUCAUUGGGUUUAAAGGGUCCGUAGGCGGUUUUAUAAGUCAGUGGGGAAAUCUGGUCGCUCAACGAUCAAACGGCCAUUGAUACUGUAGAACUUGAAUUACUUGGAAGUAACUAGAAUAUGUAGUGUAGCGGUGAAAUGCUUAGAGAUUACAUGGAAUACCAAUUGCGAAGGCAGGUUACUACAAGUACAUUGACGCUGAUGGACGAAGGCUUGGGUAGCAAACAGG